rnacentral:tRNA from 1 species
ACUUAAAUAUUUUAAAUAAAAUUAUGAUUUGUGAAUUCAUAGAUGUCUAUUAGACUUUAGGUU